rnacentral:rRNA from 1 species
UGGGGAAUAUUGGACAAUGGGCGGAAGCCUGAUCCAGCCAUGCCGCGUGUGUGAAUAAGGCCUUUUGGUUGUAAAGCACUUUAAGCGAGGAGGAGGCUACUUGGAUUAAUACUCUAGGAUAGUGGACGUUACUCGCAGAAUAAGCACCGGCUAACUCUGUGCCAGCAGCCGCGGUAAUACAGAGGGUGCGAGCGUUAAUCGGAUUUACUGGGCGUAAAGCGUGCGUAGGCGGCUUCUUAAGUCGGAUGUGAAAUCCCUGAGCUUAACUUAGGAAUUGCAUUCGAUACUGGGAAGCUAGAGUAUGGGAGAGGAUGGUAGAAUUCCAGGUGUAGCGGUGAAAUGCGUAGAGAUCUGGAGGAAUACCGAUGGCGAAGGCAGCAAUCUGGCCUAAUACUGACGCUGAGGUACGAAAGCAUGGGGAGCAAACAGG